GAAGAUUCUAAUGGAUGCUCUGAACAAUUAGAGGGCCUCUUCAGCUGCUUUUUCAGUUUGAAGUUAUGAUUGGAGGAGACCUCGAAAUUCAGCUGUGUGCAGUAUUUACAGAGUAGUUCCCCGUUAUCCGCGGUUUUAGUUACCCGUGGUCAACUGCAGGCUGGAAGCGGAUGAUCCUCUUUCUAACCCAUCUUCAGAAGGUCAGUAGUAGCCUAGUGCUAGGUCACAACGCCUACGUCAUUCACCUCACUCCAUCUCAUCACGUAGGCAUUGUAUCAUCUCACAUCACCACAAGAAGAAGGAGAGCAAAAGGAAGUAUGAAAUAGUCACAGUCUCAGGGAGAAAAUAGUGUUUCUUUAGCGGAACACUGGUGCCCACUGAACAACUGUUACAAAGGAAAUGUAGCUCCUACAAUGAGGGAAAUUUUUCCAAGCCUACUUUCCAAAGGUAUCAACUGGUCAUGUUCUUCCCAACGUGUAUUCUGGUUUAGGGUAAAAUGGAUCCCAGUGGAGUCUGAGAGAAUGGAUCAGUUCAACCCCUCUAAGAGCUUGACCUCUAAGCAUAGAGGUGGAGCCGACUGCUUUCCCAUCCAUCAGUUCUCUUUCAACCUGAUGUGGAGAUGAUGACAAAAAGAAUGGACUUUAACAAGAAGUAUUUAACAUUCAAAGCCAGCCUCCUGACUUGACACUAUCCUCCUAGAUUUGGAGGCUUUUUGUUUUCAUAUCUUCAGUGACACCUAGGAAAGUGCUUAACAUGUAUGUAAUGCUUAAUAAAGAUUUGCUUAAAAUUUUUUUGUUUUUAGUGUGGUAAAAUAUACAUAACAUAAAUUUACCAUUUUAAUCAUUUUAAGUGUACUAUUUAGGGGUAUUAAGUACACUCACAAUGUUGUACAACCAUUACCACUAGCCAUUUCCAGAGCUUUUUCAUCAUCGCAAACAGAAACUUUGUACACGUUACACAAUAGCUCCCCCUUCUCCCUCCAGCCCUGGUAAUCUCUAGUCUACUUUCCGUCUCUAUGAGUUUGCCUCUUGUAGGUACUUUAUACAAGUG
rnacentral:lncRNA from 1 species